GACGAACGCUGGCGGCGUGCUUAACACAUGCAAGUCGUACGGUAAGGCCCUUUCGGGGGUACACGAGUGGCGAACGGGUGAGUAACACGUGAGUAACCUGCCCACAACUUUGGGAUAACGCUAGGAAACUGGUGCUAAUACUGGAUAUGUGCUCCUGCUGCAUGGUGGGGGUUGGAAAGCUCCGGCGGUUGUGGAUGGACUCGCGGCCUAUCAGCUUGUUGGUGGGGUAGUGGCCUACCAAGGCGGCGACGGGUAGCCGGCCUGAGGGGGUGACCGGCCACAGUGGGACUGAGAGACGGCCCAGACUCCUACGGGAGGCAGCAGUGGGGAAUAUUGCACAAUGGGCGCAAGCCUGAUGCAGCAACGCCGCGGGCGGGAUGACGGCCUUCGGGUUGUAAACCGCUUUCAGCAGGGACGAAGCUUUUUGUGACGGUACCUGCAGAAGAAGCACCGGCUAACUACGUG
rnacentral:rRNA from 1 species